UCAUGAUAUGAGGAAAGACUUUUUGUAGUUCAAAAUUCACUAAAAAGUCCAUCAAAAUCCAUUAAAAUCCUAUUUUUUAAACAAUCUAUCGAAAUUAGAAUACUUUUGAAUACCACAAGACUUUUUGUAAGUUGUAAAGAGUCUUGAUUGAAUACCAUUAGACUUUUUUAAAGUCUUUUAAAAUCCUAAUUGAAUACUACUAGACUUUUUUAAAGUCUUUUAAAAUCAUAAUUGAAUACCACAGGAUUUUAUCAUCAUAAAAAAGUCUUUUAAAAUCCAUUAAAAUCCUAAUUGAAUACACCCCUAA
rnacentral:lncRNA from 1 species